GGAGUUCAGCACAACAUAUGCUGAGCAAGAAAUCAUUUGCAAAGAAGAAAUGUCUCACUGUUUUAUGCAAAGACAUACAUACAUAAGCAGAUCAGUAUUAUGAAUUCAGAUGUACAUAAACCAACAUCACCACGAUAAUCAAACAAGUUUACAACAUGAAAAUGCACAUAUAAUCUCACGUUCCAUCAACAUGAAGAGACUUAGGAGAGUUGAAGUACUCCACAUUCUUUUACAUCCCAUUCUUUACAGUAGACUGUGAGCUCAAAGCAAAGCUCGUUGGAAGUCACAUCUACUUCUAAAUUAAAGGUAUACAAAUGCCCGACAAAUGUUACUGCGCGAGGUAGAGAGAGAUAUCCCGGUGGGCAUGGAACAAUGACGCCAUUCUGUUUGUCCAUGAUCUUAUAUUGCAGAUACAUACUGUACGUACCACCACAUGGCGGAUUGUCAACAUUAUCAACCAACAUAACGCAAGCCUUGAAUCUCAAAGGUUUAUGAGGAGGCCUCUCAUUCAGCUUCACUGUUACAAUACUUCCAGUAGCUCGGUCACUAAAGUAGGCAGGCACUUCUCCACCGGGUACGACUGAAACUGGACGAUUCGAUGCCUGGAUGAUGAGAUCUCUCGCUUCUUGAUUUAGUUUGAAGCAGUUAUAGAAGUUGAGAGACAUAUCUGGAUUGCAAAAAGAGCAAUCUAGUUUCUCAAGGGAUUCACAAUUUUCGGCAUCUAGGAACAAAAGGGAAUCCGGAAGUUGUGGGAGUGAUACCAGCUUCUGCGAUCCGUUUAGUACAAGUCGACGUAGACGAGAGAAUCCCUUGAUCCAUGGACCGAGCUCUUGUAUUUCUGUAUCGGUCAAGUGCAAAUCUGUGAUACUGUCAAGAGCAUGUGGCGAGUUCUUGAGGUUUUCGCAAUAUGACAUAUGCAAUUCUUCAAGACGAGACCAUGACCUAAUCCCCAAGGGGACUUCUUCUACUGCAGUCCUGGUGAGGUGGAGAAGUUUGAUGUUUGUGGAAAUCUCAGGAAAAGUUUUCAAGAGCGAGCAAUUUUGGAGAUAAAGUUCCUCAAGAGACUCCAGGUUGAUGUUGGUCGGCAGAACCUCUAGCUUUGAGCACCCUCUCAUAAUCAAUCUCAAUAACUUAUGAAGGUUUCCGAUUGAGAAAGGAAGCUCCACCAGAUUUGAGC